GGUCCACAAAGUGCAGCAACUGCGGGGCAUCCAGAGGUGAAGGCUGAUCCCUGAUCCCAAGUGGCCAACGUAGAACUCCGAGAACAGCUGGUCUUCUCCAGGGCUUCGAUAGCAGAGCUCCAGUUCCUGAAGAGGCAAAGAGUUGAGUUGCCACCCUGUUCAUCUUGCAUGGAAGGUCUUUCCCCACCUGACACCUUCUUGGCCCUGCUUGGCUCCAUAAGGACACUCUGAUGAUCCCUGUACUGAAAUCAACCAUCACCUUCAGACAUUGCUCUUUUCCCAAUUUUCCACAGAAGGAUGAGGACACAACUGAGUACCUCACGGGCAGAAUUGGUACCUUUGAUUGCAGUCUCUGACCAGCGCCAGGCAAGGACAUUGAAGUUACAAGAGAGCUUGAGGGAUGAAUACUGGUAAUGGGAGAGACACUUGGCAGGGCAAAGAUGGAGAUGUGAUUCCCAGGCCUUAGCAGCCAAGAAUGCUGGAGAGGGGAAGCACCAGCCGGUGGGUCUCGGAGAGAGGGUGAGCCACAGCAGCCAGGAACCUGGGGACAGAUGAGCUUCAUGGUCAGGUGGAAAUGCACCCAACUGGGAGAAUGUGGGAGCUGCAGCAGA
rnacentral:lncRNA from 1 species